CGGAUUACGGUGGCGGCCUAA
rnacentral:siRNA from 1 species